GACGAACGCUGGCGGCGUGCCUAAUACAUGCAAGUCGAACGCAGGGGGGACGGUUGAGUAACACGUGGGUGACCUCCCAUCAGAGGAGAUAACACUUGGAAACAAGUGCUAAAACCGAUAUUGAUUGAGGGACUCGCGGUGCAUUAGCUAGUUGGGGAGGUAACGGCUCACCAAGGCCACGAUGCAUAGCCGACCUGAGAGGGUGAUCGGCCACACUGGGACUGAGACACGGCCCAGACUCCUACGUGAGGCAGCAGUAGGGAAUCUUCGGCAAUGGACGAAAGUCUGAUCGAGCCAUGCCGCGUGAGUGAAGAAGGUUUUCGGAUCGUAAAACUCUGUUGGUAGAGAAGCGUUAUCUAAACAGAAAGCACCGGCUAACUCCGUGCCAGCAGCCGCGGUAAUAC
rnacentral:rRNA from 1 species